rnacentral:lncRNA from 1 species
GUAACAGUCCAUUUAAAUCGCAAAACUUAAACUUUUAACAAGUAACAAAAAAAUAAUUUAAAAAACCUUGGAAAAAGUUGGUUCCAAUCUUCUCAUUAGGUCAUCCAUGUGUUUUGAUUCAUCACCCUGCAACAAGAUACCAAAAACUGUAAGAUAUAUCAUGAUCACCUCUUUCUCUGUGUUUAAAACAAGAAUGCAAUGAUGAACAGAAAUAUGUUGCCUAGUAGAGAUCUAGCAUCGAAAAUUAAGAUACUUCCACUUCUUCUACUCACUAAAAGUUUCCAAGUGACCAAUGAUAAAGGACAGCUUGUCAAAUUGCUUAUGGAGAAGAAAUUACCUCCGACUGACUCCCAUUCUUAGCAGUACUAUGUCGACUGUAGACUCUAACUCCACUCUGAUUCCAUCAGGCGUUCCCCAAAAAGUUUAAGAGAUCAAUGAGUAGUUAUUAAAUAGCAAUAUCAUUAAAAUGCUGCAGGUACUUACUGCGGAUGAACUUUGUUGUGCU